UAUGAAGGGGGCUAGCGUUGCUCGGAAUCACUGGGCGUAAAGCGCACGUGGGCGGCUUUUUAAGUCAGGGGUGAAAUCCUGGAGCUCAACUCCAGAACUGCCCUUGAUACUGGGAAGCUUGAGUCCGGAAGAGGUGAGUGGAACUCCGAGUGUAGAGGUGAAAUUCGUAGAUAUUCGGAAGAACACCAGUGGCGAAGGCGGCUCACUGGUCCGGUACUGACGCUGAGGUGCGAAAGCGUGGGGAGCAAACAGG
rnacentral:rRNA from 1 species